CGCAUGUGAAGGAACAGAACUGAAGAAUAAAAAACAAAAGAAAAAGGAAAAAAUUCAAAACUUUAUCGUAAGAUUGAAAGGUCUGUGUCGGGACAAGAUGAGAUUUAUGGUCUUUAGAAGACAUUGCGUUUUCUGCAACACAGUUUUAAGGAGAGCAGCUUUGCCAGGCAUCGAUGCAGUCUCAGCGACUAAGCCAAAAAUGAGAAAUUUCCAAUCUUCAUAUAUAACAUAGGUGAUUCGCUAUUAUUUCUGCACAACUGUAGAUCAAAUGAAGGCUACAAUGAUCGAUUCGAAAUAUGCACAUUCACACGCAAUUGAAGAUUUCGACCAGAUGAGGCAUCGACAAUUGAAUAAUUGCUUAAUUUUUUAAGGAGAGCAGCUUUGCCAGGCAUCGGUGCAGUCUCAGCGACUAAGCCAAAAAUGAGAAAUUUUUAAGCUUAAUAUGUGUAACGCAGGUAAAUGCGCUAUUAUUUCUGUUACGCACUUUAUUUGUUUAUACGUAGAAAAUCUACAGAUAUUUUAUUUGUUUGAAUAAAGAUUCUAUUUUAUGUUUUA